UAAAGAUGGGAGAGAAUAAAAAGCCAAUCAAUAAUUAGGAAAUAUAAUAUUCAACGGCCUAUGCCUAUAGUAGCCUAUACCUAUCUUAUCUAAAUCUAUGACUAUGGCAAUUGUCAGUAGCAAAUGUCAAAGAAAACAAUCCAUGAUUUAACCAUGCUGAGCACUUGAUGGGCACUGGAGCAAUGGAAAGAUUUGUGCAGACUUCACCCUGUAGGUCAGUUGAUGAACAGAAUGAUAUACACAAAAUGUCAGGAGGCAGGAUUGGUGAAGUGGGAAAAUUAUCCAAGGAUCCUGACUGAUUACUGAUGCAUUCAUCUUCUAUAUGUCCAGGUAGCAAAAUCUGUUAUAUGCUGCCUCCUACACCAGGGCUGGUGUGUUUUGUUGACUGAAGGGAGAUCACAGCAGCUCUCCACACAUUCCUGUUGAGGGGGAGUUACUCAUCACCCUUGACCAGAACUGAAGGCAUUCCAGACUAAAGUCCCAGGACCAGUCUGUACCUACCAAAGGAGUAAGCCCACCGCAUGGCAUCCUCAUCACACUAGUACCUGCAGGACGUCAAGCCGAGAGGAACACCAACUCAUUUCACCUCUGAAGGAGAACCUUGGACAAAGAUAUAAGUGGAGGACAGCCGAGAUAAGCAAACCAUAUACGAGCGCUUGAGCAACAUCCCAGUGAUAAAAUUGUCUUAUAAACUAUCCUUAAUCUAUUUGUACAUCCCCCCAAACUCAUUGAUUGUAUAUCUAUUAAUCACCUCCUAUUAAGGAUGGCUGCCUGGUCGUGCGGUUUGCUCGCUGGACUGUCGUUCGGAUUUAUCGACGGUCGAGGGUUCAAACCCUGCCCGCUCCCAUCCCCCGUCGUCCUGCGGGAGGUUUGGACUAGGAAGUAAACUAUCUUCAACUCUGAAGGAACAUCCGAAUUAUGUAAAACAAAACAAAACAAAUAUUGUUUCUUUCACAAAAUCAUAAAGCUUUGGUUCUUGCUAAUGCCUGUCCACGUGCCUAUGCAAUAUCAACAUUCUAUUUAUCGCGUUUUAGCCCGAAGACUUUUUCCCUAGGAGUCACAGGCCCAUCAUCUCCAUUGGAAAGUACAAACUGUCCGAUCGGCUGACAUAUUCCACCACACCUAAAUAGUAUAUUGCAGGAAUAGGAAGACUCCCUUUAAACAGAUGGGUUGGUGAGUGGACAGUCGCAAAGAUAUGAUGUUGAUUUUUUUUUGGAAAUUGAACUCAUUUGACAAGAAUGUCAUACAGGGGUCCUUUCUGUAGUUCACUUUCACCGUUAUAAAGUUCAUCCAACUGUAGUUACGAUUUAUUAAAAAAUAGAAAUCCAGACCAACAUCCAAGCAUACUUGGAGCAGCAACUUUGUAUACAAUUGAAAUAUUUUUGCAAGAGAUUUUUAUACUUUUUCAGAAAUGAACACAUUUCUUAAAGACAUCACGUACUGUAGUAGUCGUUUCAAGAAGAUUGCAAAAGAGAAAUCCGUCUUUAUAAUCGCCAUCUUUGCGUACACCAGUAAUUAUGAUCCAUUUGCAACAUCUUUGGAUUCUUCAAGCUGGAUGAUAAAUAUUUGAAGUGGAGCAAAAUCCUUCACAAGUUUGCAUCCAACAUCACAAGACAAACCUUCACCUGGAACCCUAAAGAAUACAUGUCGUCGUUAUUUGGAAGCCUAUGCUAAGCAGAUGGGCAAGAUGUUCUGGACAGUUGGAGAGAUUUAUCCAGAACUGAGACGCCUGAAAGAAGGAGGUUGAUGACUAAUGCCUCAAUGCAGAGUUAUAUUUUCCGGGAUUAUUUGAUGGCUAAAUCACCAGACGUGUCAGCUAUUUUGUCUUUAGAUAUGGAAAUUGAACGUAAUUGAAUAGAUCUAGUUAGUACGGCUCCAGUUAUUACUGGUACUCGAACAAUGUAUUUGGCCACUAGCAACAGUAAGUCCUCAGCAAUGAUGUGAGGUUUCAUAUUGAUUACAUAUUGACAUUGAACAUCCGAGCUUUGCCGACAACGACAUACAGUACUUGAAAAAAAAAUGUAAAUUUGAAAGUCAAGAAAACCCAAACUUUACUGCUGGCAAAUAAACAAAAACUAGCAGUCGUCGAACGGUUGAACACCUAAUUUGGUGGCCUUCAGAAUAGCCCCUGCAUUUUGCGUAAUAUUUGAUUUUUAAUGUAAAAAACACUCAUUUGGAAGCCCCCAUGAAGUGGGGGACCGGAAGGAUUUUUCAAAUUAUCCUCCCUCCUUCCCCCAACCUAACUACGCCACUCCCCAUAACUCAUCUAUUCUAUGUAACUUUACAUCUUGUCACAGAACAGGGACUAUAGGAUGAGCAGAGCAAUAACGGCUGUAUAUUUAGAAUUGAAUGUACAUCUACACUUGACUUUAGGGAUCAGGUCUUACAUCAUUAGACCCAGGCAUUAUCUAUAAUUAGAGGAGCGAUAUACUAUCUUAUAUAAUAACUUAAGGAGCACACAGUGUGUAACAUCCUUGACUCUGUGUACAGACAGUGUGUCUCAUAGCAGAGUAUAUAGCUAAUCAAGGAAAUGGAUUACCGUAGAUCUGGUAUUUUAUUUUCCUUUCAGUUUCGUUGGGUUGACGUGUUUACUGUGUAGCGUACUGUCCAUGGAUAGUACAGUCGAAACGCAUAGUCGAUAAACAAAUUUAAGCAACACAAUUUUUAAGAGCUCAAAAUGUAUCAAAAUAUAUCCAGCGUUACAAUUUGGCUAAAUAGAUGCACAAGGUAUUGCGGCCGUCUUUGAAAGUAGAAUGUUAUUCUCAAGCAUUACACUCUGACAUCAAGAUUUGUAUUCAAGCUCUCUUUUGAACAAACGUAUAGGUUUUGUAAUAUCAGUUUAUAUCGCCAGUCACUGACAAUAAGAAAAGAAGUCUAAUUUCGUUAAUCCUUUAAAUCCAAGAAGAAAUGUUUGCAGACAAAAAAGAUCAAGACUUGGUGGAGAAAACUACGGAUGUCCAGGAUCGGUCAUUUGUCCACUCUGCAUCAGUCAAAUUAUUGUUUCAUCUAGUCUGUGUUCUGUUACUGACCGUUGUUGUUUUAUCAGUAUGUCUGUUUCAACUGCAACGGCGAGUACAUAACUUGGAAACGUAUUUACUUGACCUAGAUCAUCGAAAUGCUCUAGCCGUAGCCAGAAAGAAUUUAGAUCAAGAUCUAGCAGCAGACCAGUCAGUACAGGACGGUGAAGUCAUUAAACAUAAAGAAAACAUUGAACCCGGGCACCUGCAAAGAUUGUCCGAAAGUCAAUUCAAUUCUAAGAAUGGGAAGACAAAAUCUCGAGACACAACACAGGUCACUGAAACGUUCUUUCAUAAAUUAACCAGAAAUGUAAGAAACGUACAAAGUACUAACUGCAAAAUCAAUAUUCACGAUGUAUUACAAAGCUACUGCGAAGACGUGAACAAAAAGAAAGUCCCUCCUAAAAAGUUUAGAGUCGGCCAGCUAUGAAGCGAAAUUUUACAAAAUAUUCCCGUACAAGACGUUAAAAUCUAAGGCAGCGGGCGAAAACACGUUUACAGAAAGAGAGUUAUGGGCUCCUCACAUUGCAGUGGUAAACAUAGAGAACAUAAUUACUUAUCCAAGUAAAGAUAGUCCUCUUGGCAUCUUUAAUGUGAGCAAUGAAAGUGAUAUUACUCCACUGGUACAUGUAAACAACUGGAAGAGAGGCGAGUUUACUGUGAACAAAUCUGGCUUAUAUAGCGUACACUUUAAUAUUACUUUGAUAGACAAGUUAAGCAAUACAAAUAUCGGACUGUUUGUGAAUAAUAGAGCAAUGCUAGCCUGCCCUCCAGGAGGUUUCAUCUGUCCUUCUAACUAUUUUGACAGCAGCCGAUAUAGAAUAUGUAACAUUCAAGGUGUUCUCGCAUUGAGAAACGGAGAUGUCAUUGUUUUGAAGACAAUGGUUCCCAAUACAAUAAUCCGCCUAGAAAGUGGAAAAGCCUCAAUUCUUUACUUUGUUUUACUCUCAGAAGACAAGCCUGCACAGGGAUCCUCAUAGAGUGACUUCAAGGCCCUAACCUCACUUGAACGGUGCAUGUGGCCCUUUAAUAAGAAUGCACAAAACAAAUAAAAACAGCUAUGUAACAGAAGAAAACAAAAAAAAACACAAACUUUUCUUAUUCGCUGAGAAUAUAAUUUCGUUUGAAAACUAGAUGACCCACUAACUCGACAUUGAGAUUGACAAACAUCUAUCUAUAUCUGACCAUUUCAAUAAAGAUUUAAAAAAAAACA